UAGUAAGUUACUAAUUUUGCCAUUUUGUUUUGUUUGUUUGUGUUUUUUUUGGUACUAGGGAUUGAACUUGGGACCUUGCACUUGUGAAGCAGGCAGCGGAACCACUGAGCUAAAUCCCUGGCCCACUAAUUUUGCCACCUUGUUAGUUCAAAUGAUCAUUAAAGUGUGAAAAAAAUCCCAGCAUAUAUACAAUAACUACCAGCAAAUCCUGAUUCUGAAAGCAAGGCUAAUUGACACAAAACAAACCUCAGGAAGAACUCUUGCUAUUGUCUUGGCAGCAGCUCCUCCUCCAGCCAAGCCAGCAGCUUCGUCACAUAUUCCAGA
rnacentral:lncRNA from 1 species